CACCACUUUGUGGUUCAUGACUGGGGUGAAGUCGUAACAAGGUAGCGCUAGGGGAACCUGGCGCUGGAUCACCUCCUUA
rnacentral:rRNA from 1 species